UUCCGUAGGUGAACCUGCGGAGGGAUCAUUACCGAGUUUACAACUCCCAAACCCCUGUGAACAUACCAAUUGUUGCCUCGGCGGAUCAGCCCGCUCCCGGUAAAACGGGACGGCCCGCCAGAGGACCCCUAAACUCUGUUUCUAUAUGUAACUUCUGAGUAAAACCAUAAAUAAAUCAAAACUUUCAACAACGGAUCUCUUGGUUCUGGCAUCGAUGAAGAACGCAGCAAAAUGCGAUAAGUAAUGUGAAUUGCAGAAUUCAGUGAAUCAUCGAAUCUUUGAACGCACAUUGCGCCCGCCAGUAUUCUGGCGGGCAUGCCUGUUCGAGCGUCAUUUCAACCCUCAAGCCCCCGGGUUUGGUGUUGGGGAUCGGCGAGCCCUUGCGGCAAGCCGGCCCCGAAAUCUAGUGGCGGUCUCGCUGCAGCUUCCAUUGCGUAGUAGUAAAACCCUCGCAACUGGUACGCGGCGCGGCCAAGCCGUUAAACCCCCAACUUCUGAAUGUUGACCUCCGGAUCCAAUUUCAGGCUACCCCCAUUCACA
rnacentral:rRNA from 1 species